CCCCCAAGCCCACCGAGCCCAGAAUAUAACCCGGGCGCAGCCCUGCGUGGAGGCCCGACCCCUUCCUGCCAGAGACCCGGGUCGCCUCUCCGGGCGCCGGGAUCCCUCCUGGCAGAGGCUGCGCUGGGGGUGAGCGCCCCCAGGCCGGGAGCAGAGGGCCGGGCAGGGUCAGCCGGGAGGGUCUCGCCUGGCCUCCGGCCCCCCAGGCACUGGCAGCGGCUCUGCAGCUUUGCUGGGGAGCCUUCCUUGCUGUAUUGUGAAGUCUCAUCUUCCGCAGGCCAGGGCCAGAAUUCCAGCGCACGCCCACUUCAGGCUGGCCCUCCAGAGAGGGCCCUCCUUCUGGGCCUUUUCAAGGCCUAUGCAGAUGUCUCGUAAUCUCUGUCAUUUCGCCGAGGCAGCUUGAAUAAUGACCACAGCAAGCCAUCCUACAGUAUCAGACCGAUGGCCCAGGAGAGUUGGGACUUCGUUGUGGUUAACUGUAUCUGGCCUCAGGUCAAAAGUCUGCUUAAAAAGUGGGCACAAGAUGCUACGGCGUAGAGGUGGGGGGACGAAGACCCAAUCCCUGAACCGUUCUGCAAACGUCACACGGAACCUGGACUUGAAGAGAAUAGCAGGAGCUGCUGACGCGUGUCGAGCUCGGACCUACCCACGACGUCUCGCUGAACCUGGAGUCGUACUGGUUGCUCUUUUCCACCUGCAGAGAAGCCCUGAGUCUUUGUCUCACUGGCACCUCCUGACAGCUUUGGGAGAUUGAUUUUCUCCGGAAACCAUUUCCGCCCCAAACUGAACGUUAAGAAUGUUGCUGAAGGGGGCUUCCCUGGUGGCGCAGUGGUUGAGAGUCCGCCCGCCGAUGCAGGGGACGCGGGUUCGUG
rnacentral:lncRNA from 1 species